rnacentral:rRNA from 1 species
CCUACGGGCGGCUGCAGUGGGGAAUAUUGCACAAUGGGCGCAAGCCUGAUGCAGCCAUGCCGCGUGUGUGAAGAAGGCCUUCGGGUUGUAAAGCACUUUCAGCGGGGAGGAAGGCGGUGAGGUUAAUAACCUCAUCGAUUGACGUUACCCGCAGAAGAAGCACCGGCUAACUCCGUGCCAGCAGCCGCGGUAAUACGGAGGGUGCAAGCGUUAAUCGGAAUUGCUGGGCGUAAAGCGCACGCAGGCGGUCUGUCAAGUCGGAUGUGAAAUCCCCGGGCUCAACCUGGGAACUGCAUUCGAAACUGGCAGGCUAGAGUCUUGUAGAGGGGGGUAGAAUUCCAGGUGUAGCGGUGAAAUGCGUAGAGAUCUGGAGGAAUACCGGUGGCGAAGGCGGCCCCCUGGACAAAGACUGACGCUCAGGUGCGAAAGCGUGGGGAGCAAACAGGAUUAGAUACCCGGGUAGUC